rnacentral:lncRNA from 1 species
AAGGCGUGGAUGAGGAGGGGGGAAAAUAAAGCUUUGACAGAUGGUACUCAGCGUUUGACUCCUGCUGAGCUCAGCAGGACCUGUGGUUUCCAAGGUUAGGGCUGUCAAAAUGGCUCUGUCUAUCAAGUGAAUAACAAAGUGUAGACUGCCUGUCUGUUUCCUAUACAAAACUUAGAUUUCAUUUGCCAUUAUUGUCGGCCUUUCUGCUGAUUUAAUAACUUCUAAGGAGAAGAACUAGGGGUUCUGAUGCAGCCUCACUAUUUAAGAAACUACUUGGAAAGGGAAUUCUCAAGGGCUGAAAGAGCCUUCAGAUGGUCAGAUAAAGUACCUGAUGCUGAAAAACAGGAAAUUGAAUCAUGUCUCCAAAAUGUGCCUUUUGUCAUGCACUGUUACAGCUAUAUUUCUUGGAUGUGAAUCCUGCCAGAUUGUGGCAUGGCACUCAACUCCUCAAAGAAGCCAUUGAGUUCCAGUCAGGCACUGCGAGAAUUGCAGAAGAAAUCUCAAACUUGGCCCCUGCCUCCAAGAAGCUGACAAUGGCUCUUUAGGCCUUAAUGAUUGACAUGAUCUUGGAAAACAGGUAUGUAGCAAAACUCUCCUAGAAACCUGAAAGAUGUGGCAAGAAGAAAACAUGGAGCCUUUUCUGAACAAGCCUAUGAGAGAAGAAGAAUCACUUCAAUUUAUUAAGUGUGGAUUCUGGGGCUAAAGAACUUACCUACAACCACACAGCCAGCAAAUUACUGACCCAGCAUAUUCUGAACCCAGGUCUUUAUUCUUUCCAAAACUUCACAGCACCUUCCUCAGAGCAUCUCUACAUGAAAAUCUGUAUAAAGAAGUGAUCUGUGGUGUCGCCAUUUGUAUCAAAAUGGUAUCACAAACUUAUUUAAAAGGCUUCAUCUAAAAGUCUUCAGAGUUUUGGCCAGGGAAGAGCUCUAAUAUCACACAUUAAUAACCUUACCUUUGUAACAUGUAAAUUGUUUUUUGUUUUAACAUCUCAGUUUCAUUAAACUGAGACCAGAAAGAGCCAUCAUCUUUUUACCAAUUUGUAAUCAUUUUAUUGUGUUAUGGACCUGCAGCAAUGCUGACUAUAUUUACAAAUCUGUGAGUGAAAUUUUAAAACCAUUUUCCUCUUCUAAUCUCUCCCAUCCUGCCUUCUUAGAAGCACACAAAGCAUCUCAACCACUCCCAAAUUCCCUGUUGGAAUACCCUUAAUGAUUCUGAAAUAUUUUGUUAUUCCCCAAACACCUCCCUAAGACGAAUCACUGGACUCCAGGCUCUUCACAUUGCCAAGUUGAAUCGAGUUCAAAUGUUCUAUCUAACCAAACUCUAACUUACAACAAAGCCACAUAUAGUAGAUGAUGUGUAAGAUAUUCCGAAAAUACCAAGGCAACAGGGAAAAAAAAUCUGUGUCAUCAAGAGGUCCUCCCAGAACUUCUUGUAAUCUAGAAUAAUCAAUUUUGUCAAGCUCCUGUAACCUAAUCAUAGCACACAUGUGUAUAUAUGUAUAACUAAUAACAUAAAUCAACUUUCAUUUUAAUAAUGUAUAGCUUAAGUUUUCUCACAUCCAAAACAAUUAGUGUUGCCAAAUUUAAGAUUAUUUCUCUACUUUAGACAUCAGAACAUGCACAAGGACUUGAGGAAUAAACAAAUCCAAGAAAACAAUCUUAGCCUGAUAAAGUAAAAAUUUUGAAUAAAUUCAUAAAUCAUUUAAAACACAAUCUUGUUAAAUUAGCUAUUUCAUAGUAUGUUAUGAAUGUAAAAGCAGAACACAGAAAAGGCAUUUUCCAAAAAGAUAUAGGACUUAGUAGGAUUUCCUUUUAUGUUAAAAAAUGGCCCAUGGAAGAGCAGUUUUCAGAAUGACCAGGGCAUAGUCAGACACCUCUUUCAUUGGAAGCUUCACCAAAGGGCACACUUCUCCUGAACUCAGAGUUUUGAGUCCAGACCCAGCUCUUGCCAAAGUUCACUGGGAGUUUUGCUAAGCUUCAAGAUGAUCCCACCUGAAAGCUCUUUGGAGACAAAGUUAAGUUCUUGGCACAGGAGAAGAGAAAGUGAGACACAACCUUGUUCCUCCAGAAGUUCACAGAAGAACAAAGGAGACAGUGAUAGAAAUGAUACAUAUGCAAGGCAGCAUUUGGAAAAAUAGAGGACUAUCCGCAGUACGGUGAGAACAAGAAAGAAGAGGUGAGCCCUCUGCCUGGGCGGAUCAGGAAGGUUCCACAAAGAGACAUUCCACUGAGGCCUAAAGAAUGAGGAAGCAUGCACCAGGCAGAUGAGUGGAGAAGGGUGUUCCUGGUAUGUGGUUGUCAGGUUGCCAGACCAACACCCAAGUGUCAAUUUAACCCCAACUGUAGCUCCGCCAGUGCUGCAGGCUUAUGUCAGAAACAGAAAUGGGAUAGGUUUUUGUAGGCCAGCCUGGGAAUACUUGUUUCUGUUGGGAGAUUAGCUCUAAAACCCUCAAUAAAAGAGAGUUGGCCCUGGGCUUAUGCCAACACAUAUGUACCCACUGCCACUACCACCACUCAUCACCUUGGGCAAACAAGAAAAGCAGUUCAGUGUCAGGAGGAACAAUUCUUGCACUUUCACUUUCUUUCACUAACUGAUCUUGUGAAUGCAAGGUCAUGAGUAAGGCCUUUUGGGGACUGCACAUACAAGACAGGUCCACACUCCAAGGAGCUUAACAACAGGCUAUGCUAGGCCAGGUGCAGUGGCUCACACUUGUAAUCCCAGCACUUUGGGAGGCCGAGGCGGGUGGAUCACGAGGUCAGGAGUUUGAGAGCAGCUCGGCCAACAUAGUGAAACCCCAUCUCUACUAAAAAUCCAAAAAUUAGCCAGAUGUGGUGGCACACACCUGUAGGCCCAGCUACUCAGGAGGCUGAGGUGGGAGAACCACUUGAACCCAGGAGGCAGAGGUUGCAGAGAGCUGAGAUCAUGCCAUUGCACUCCAGCUUGGGUGUCAGAGUGAGACUCUUUUUAAAACAAACAAACAAACAAACAAAACAGGCAACAGGCUAUGCAGGCAAGACCCGUGCAUAUAAAAUAACUGAGAGUCCAAGGCAGUAGCUGCCAAAAUAAUGACACAUUCUAUAAGCACUACUGUCCUAGCCAUCACUGCUUUCUGGAGAGAAUAAUUCAAUUUAGUUGAAAAAGUGUUUUACAUUAAAUGCCCACUAAAAGUCUGUUGAUUAUGUAAGACUGCAUUCUGAAUUUCACAAGGCAGGAUCCACCAAGUUCCAUAAAUGUAAAUAAGUUUUCCUCCCAAAAGUAACAGGUUAAGUCAACUCUGGAAAGACUAUGGGGAGUUUAAUUAAUAGGAAUUCUGGUUUACUCAAUACAAGAAACACAUCAAACUGAAUAGGUAUGAAAAAGCAUUUCCCACCAGUUGAAGCUGUCUGAAUUAAAAUGAACCGCCUUGGGAGGUAAUAAGUUUCCCGUCAAGCUAGAUAAUUACUUGGCAGUGAUUUGGUAGGGGUGAUGCAAGCAUUCAAUGACCAGUAGGCUCCCUUCCAGUCCUGUGAUUGUGUGAAUUUCUGCAGCUCCCCCUUGAUAACACAAUAAAACCUGGGAACCCACACUGCAAGGUUUUCAAUGUUGAAGAUUAGCCAUGGGUUAGGCUUAUUCAGGGUACCAGAGCCUAUUCUGAAUGGUGGUGAGGAAACAGAGAAUGGGAAGGUCGAACUUCUACCAAGAACCUGACCAAACUCCCAGGGUGCUAGUCAGUAUCUGGGGAGAGCUUCAGAAUGCCAAAACUCAUUAGUGCUCAAAAAAGGUCAUAGUUAUUAGACAAGGGCACUCCAUUAUGAAGUCCUAACUAAAGAACUAAAAAAAAAAGCCCCUUGAAGACAAGAUGUGUAGGAUUCUAGAGUAUUUUGAAAGGCUCUUCCAAUGCUGACCCCUGAGGGUCCCUCAUGAAUGUUAGCACAUCCAGAUUCUUGGGAAACUCCAAGCAAAGCUGUUGUCAAAGAUGUGCCCAAGAAGAGUGCCUCCAAAAGUAAACAAGCAGGAGAUAGACAAGACAGUUAUACAGGUCUCCUGAGUAAAGUAUACAGGACUGAGAUGGUGAAUGCAGAAGAGGAGUAACAGCCUGAGGGGACCCGGACAACCAAGAAACUGGUUGUUUAAAAUCCUGGCAUCUUGUAAAUUUGUUUGAGUUCAUUGUUGAUUCUGGAUAUUAGCCCUUUGUCAGAUGAGUAGAUGGCAAAAAUU